AUACAGGGGGUGCGAGCGUUAAUCGGAAUUACUGGGCGUAAAGAGUACGUAGGCGGUUGCUUAAGUCAGAUGUGAAAGCCCCGGGCUCAACCUGGGAACUGCAUUUGAAACUGAGUGACUAGAGUUUAAGAGAGGGGAGUAGAAUUCCGGGUGUAGCGGUGUAAUGCGUAGAGAUCCGGAGGAAUACCAGUGGCGAAGGCGGCUCCCUGGCUUAAAACUGACGGUGAGGUACGAAAGCGUGGGUAGCAAACAGGAUUAGAUACCCGUGUAGUCC
rnacentral:rRNA from 1 species